ACGUAGGGGGCAAGCGUUAUCCGGAAUUAUUGGGCGUAAAGAGUGCGUAGGUGGUUUUUUAAGCGUGAGGUGAAAGGCAAUAGCUUAACUAUUGUAAGCCUUGCGAACCGGAAGACUUGAGUGCAGGAGAGGAAAGUGGAAUUCCUAGUGUAGCGGUUAAAUGCGCAGAUACUAGGAGGAACACCAGUGGCGAAGGCGACUUACUAGACAGAAACUGACACUGAGGCACGAAAGCGUGUGGAGCAAACAG
rnacentral:rRNA from 1 species